rnacentral:lncRNA from 1 species
AUGCGAAGAGAUCGCAAGCCAAUCCGAGUGGUGGGGCCGAGGGUCCGGGCCGAGCUGUGGCCAGCCCUGAUUCCUGCUGUCACGGUACUUGCCGGGGCCCCUCGACCCAGCUCCCUGACAGCUCCUCCUGCUGUCAGUGCCGGCGCACAAAGUCCCCACCGCUGCAUGCCUAGGGAGCCUGGUGGCCUCUCAGCCGGCCACCGAUGGCCUCGGUGGCUGGCGUGGCCUCGGGGCCCUCCCGGGGGAUUGAUCUUAGGUGAGCUACCAAAUCACAUUCCUUCUGUGACACCCGCUCCUAAGUCUGCUUAGCCCGCCCUCCCACAAGGGGGUUCUCAUACAUGGAGUUUCCUCCCGGGUCCCGCCCAGCCUCCUUGCGUCUAGUGCGUCCUCCGUGCCAUAUGCAUCACAAUCCUAGACGGGUGAGGUCCCCCUGCUUCUCGCAAGCUUUGACCCAUCACUGUGUUCGCGUCCCACCGGGGAGAAUCAGUCACUCAGCUCAGCCGGUUAGGCUGUGUGCUGAGACUCGCGGUCGGGCCUGGCAGGCCAGAUGCUCCGGACAUCGCUGCUCACUAGAGAAGGGAGAACAUGAAUCUGGUGGGCAGCCAGCCGCCACGGCUUUGCAUCCUUGAAACCCCUUGCCCCUGCCCCUGAUUUUGCACCUUGCACUGGGUUCUGGAUUUUACUUCCUAAAUAGCUCUUGAAUUGGUCACCUCUUCUCCUCCAGCACCAACUCUUACCUGUGCUAUUAUGAUGUUUCUAGAACAGUCUCUCCUCCUCUCUUUGUAUUCUCUUCGGGCUGCAGCUAGAGGAUCUUUCUAGAACACAAAAUGGGCUUAUCCUCUCCUGCUUCUCAUCACCCUCUGGGUAGAGACCAAACUCAAACCUACACAGCAUGGCCCCUCUCUGACCUCAGCAUCACCCCAUCCCCACCACACGUGGCCUUCUUUCAACCCUCAUCCCCGUGCGCCACCCCCGCCGGGGCUCCACACCCUUCCUUCCCUCUGGGAUGACCUUCACGGCCGACUCUCCUUCAUCCUUCAGAUCCCGAGCCGAAGCCAAGCCUCGCGGACCUCUCCUCCCAGGUAAAUCCGCUGUUACACACUCCGGUAGCCCCACGAAGCUCUCCCCACGCCAUUCGCACUCCUGCAUUUCUUUGUUUAAUGGCUUGAUGGAUGUCUGUCUAGAGUAUGAACUUGAAUAAGGGCAGGAGUCCCUUUAUUUUUGCAGCGACUGUCACAGUGGAAGUUUCAUGGGUAUUUGGGGAAGAGACAGAAGAGACAGUGAGAAGAGAAGGCAGAAGCGAGUGGUG